rnacentral:rRNA from 1 species
CAAGUCGAGCGGUAACAGAAAGUAGCUUGCUACUUUGCUGACGAGCGGCGGACGGGUGAGUAAUGCUUGGGAACAUGCCUUGAGGUGGGGGACAACAGUUGGAAACGACUGCUAAUACCGCAUAACGUCUACGGACCAAAGGGGGCUUCGGCUCUCGCCUUUAGAUUGGCCCAAGUGGGAUUAGCUAGUUGGUGAGGUAAUGGCUCACCAAGGCGACGAUCCCUAGCUGGUUUGAGAGGAUGAUCAGCCACACUGGGACUGAGACACGGCCCAGACUCCUACGGGAGGCAGCAGUGGGGAAUAUUGCACAAUGGGCGCAAGCCUGAUGCAGCCAUGCCGCGUGUGUGAAGAAGGCCUUCGGGUUGUAAAGCACUUUCAGUCAGGAGGAAAGGUUAGUAGUUAAUACCUGCUAGCUGUGACGUUACUGACAGAAGAAGCACCGGCUAACUCCGUGCCAGCAGCCGCGGUAAUACGGAGGGUGCGAGCGUUAAUCGGAAUUACUGGGCGUAAAGCGUACGCAGGCGGUUUGUUAAGCGAGAUGUGAAAGCCCCGGGCUCAACCUGGGAACUGCAUUUCGAACUGGCAAACUAGAGUGUGAUAGAGGGUGGUAGAAUUUCAGGUGUAGCGGUGAAAUGCGUAGAGAUCUGAAGGAAUACCGAUGGCGAAGGCAGCCACCUGGGUCAACACUGACGCUCAUGUACGAAAGCGUGGGGAGCAAACGGGAUUAGAUACCCCGGUAGUCCACGCCGUAAACGAUGUCUACUAGAAGCUCGGGUCCUCGGACUUGUUUUUCAAAGCUAACGCAU